rnacentral:rRNA from 1 species
AGUGAACGCUGGCGGUAGGCCUAACACAUGCAAGUCGAACGGCAGCACAGAGGAGCUUGCUCCUUGGGUGGCGAGUGGCGGACGGGUGAGGAAUACAUCGGAAUCUACUCUGUCGUGGGGGAUAACGUAGGGAAACUUACGCUAAUACCGCAUACGACCUACGGGUGAAAGCAGGGGACCUUCGGGCCUUGCGCGAUAGAAUGAGCCGAUAUCGGAUUAGCUAGUUGGCGGGGUAAAGGCCCACCAAGGCGACGAUCCGUAGCUGGUCUGAGAGGAUGAUCAGCCACACUGGAACUGAGACACGGUCCAGACUCCUACGGGAGGCAGCAGUGGGGAAUAUUGGACAAUGGGCGCAAGCCUGAUCCAGCCAUACCGCGUGGGUGAAGAAGGCCUUCGGGUUGUAAAGCCCUUUUGUUGGGAAAGAAAUCCAGCUGGCUAAUACCCGGUUGGGAUGACGGUACCCAAAGAAUAAGCACCGGCUAACUUCGUGCCAGCAGCCGCGGUAA